UGUUGUAGGGACUCGCUCCGCUGCCCCUUCCCCCCACCCUUCCUUGCGUUGAUGCCUGUGCGAGUGCUAUGCCUGCACGGCGCUCAGCAGACGCAGGAGAUCUUCCAGCAUCAGCUGAGCCUCUUCCAGGAUGACCUCGCCCGCAUUGCAGAGCUUGUGUUUCUAGAGGCGCCGCAUGUGCUACCUCUCAUCACAGCGCAAGAUGACAUACCCACGCGAUCGUGGUGCAGCGCGGACGGCAGGGAGGACUACAGCGCUGGGGAUGCGUUGGUUGCGACAGCGAUGCAGCCCGCCGGCCCAGGCACUGAUCUUGCCUUCACCGUCAUGCUUGGUUUCUCGCAGGGCGCUUUGAUGAUUUAUCGAUACCUGUGGCUGCACGCGGCGGACGCCGCGGUGGCUGCGCAGCUGCACGGUGUCGUCGUAGCCGGCGCGCCAGACCCACGCCGCAUGUUCCCGCGCAACGCAGACAACACACUCUUUCAGUCCGCCUCUGACAGCCCUGCAAGCUCCGCCGCCGGGGUCACGGUUUUUGGUGCACUGCCCUUUCUUCACAUCAUUGGUAAGAAGGACGCCGUUGUGGCGCCGGAGGAGAGCGCCACCUUCGCGCAGGUGUGCAGCAGCGCUUCUCACAUUCUCUUCCACGAGCACGCGCACAGUAUUCCUGCGCUUAAAGAAGUGCGCACGGCGGUGCGAGAGGUGUGCCAGACGGCCUUGCUGAGCUCAGCCAAGUUUGCAGAGACGCUCGAGGCCCGCGCGGGGGAGCUGGAGAUGGUCCGCUCCAUGUACGAGGAGGAAUGUAUUCUGACCUGCGGCAACGAGACACUCGUGCGCAUUCCGCUCUUCACGGAUGCGGAGUCUCUGCUGGCAUCCUCUUCUUCACCCGCGGCAGCGUCGCUAAAGGCGUCUGCGGUGCACGCGCUAGAGCGCGUCAAGGUUUGCUUCCGCGUGCCCUGGAGCUACCCGUCAACGCUGCCGAUGGUGGAGAUGGCUGACGGUCCAACCUGGCACUCGAUCAAGUACGAGCGCUGGGCAGCAGACAUCGUAGUGCGCACCUCGGCCUACCUCGCCGACGAGCUCGGUGGCGAGACGGCUAUGCUGCUCCCAGCCUACCUCUACGCCGCUGGGCUGGCGCAAGAGAAGUUGGACGUCCUCGUUGAUGUCUUCGCCGAGGAGGCGUGUGGCCGCGGCGGGGCUGACGGAGAAGCUGCAGUGUCGCAGCUGGGUGGCCCAUGGGCGGCCGAGGACGAGUUGCUCCGGGAAGCGUACAUCGCGGAGGCGGAGGCAAACGCUGCCGAACUGCUCUUGGCUGAGGCGAGGCGCCCCCGCAAUGGCCGCCGUCCAACCGCAGACGUCGGCGAAGAUGACGACGGGGAAUUCGACAGCGAGGAGGCCAGGUCUGCGGCCGCUGGCGGUGGUGGCGGCACCUGCACACUGACAAUUGGCCUGAUCGGCAAGCCUAGCGCUGGCAAGAGCACCUUCUUCAACGCAGUCACGAACCCGGCUGUCGAGAGCGACGCGGCACGUGUCGCGGCUUUUCCCUUCACCACUAUCGAACCGAACAUCGGCGCUGGUCUGGCACCUCUGUACUGCCCGUGUGCAACGCUGCGCGCGGCAGCGGUGGCGCCUGCUGGUGACGGUGCUACUGACGUGGCUGCGACCGCCGGCAGUGCGAGGUUGUCUAGCGCCGUCCUUUCCUCCGGCCUUGCUGGUGACUUGUGCGAUGCAAAGUACGGCCACGUGCGUGCGCUAGGCAGCCACCACUUUCGCCGACACCCGGUGAGAGUGAAGGAUGUGGCCGGGCUUGUGCAGGGCGCCUACCAAGGCAAGGGCAAAGGAAACCAGUUCUUGAAUGACCUGUGCGACGCUGACGUGCUGGUGCACGUGGUGGACGGCGCGGCUGCAACGGAGGCGGACGGCACGGCGUGCGCGCCCGGUCAGGGCUCCACGAUGGAGGACAUCACAUGGGUGCGCUCGGAGGUGCACAGCUGGAUCUACGACAACCUUCGCGCCAAAUGGACGAGCCUUGUGCGGCAGCCGACGAAACUGCGCACCAUGUUCAGCGGCUACCGGAGUACUCCGACCUUCGUGGACCGCGUGCUGCGGCGCGUCGGCAUUGCCAACGAAAUCGCUCUGACAACCAUGCUACGCACAUGGGGGCCACAAGAGCUGCACGCGCUCGUGGCGCUCUACGUUCGUCUUCGCUUUCCAAUGAUCGUGGCUCUGAACAAGGCAGACCUCUCCACUGCUGCUGAUGUGGCAGCGGCGUUGCGCCAGGCCUACCCACACGAGGUGUUUGUCCCCAUGACGGCGAGGAUAGAGUGGCUGGCGCUUCAACUGAGCCGCAACGGUUACGUUGACUACACCCCUGGUGCGGCAUCGCUGAGUAUCAAAGUUGACUGCAGCGAAGUUGCCAACCUGGAGAAGCGCGUGUGUCAGGAGUUGCACGAUGUCGCCUCCUUCUUCCGCACCGCCACUCCCUCACCGGAGCGUUUGUCGUCGUCGUUGCUGCCGCUGACCACCACUGGUGUACAAGAUGUGCUGGCCGCGGCGAUGGAGGCGUGCGGGGUGAUGCUUGUGUACCCUGUCCGCGCCUUUCACCCCGUCACCUCGCUCGCCCACUGUCUCACCUUCAAGCUGGGCAGCUCUGCGGAACGGGUGUUCAACGCGCUUGUGCAUCUGCAGCUGCUGGAGGGAAAGCUGGUACGCUUUGAGAUGAUCGAUCUCGCACCUGUGAAGCGGCAGCUGCACCAGCAGCUUUUGGCGUCUCUGGCCACCGCCCCAUCGAGUGAGGCGUCAAUGCCGAUGCCAGCGCAGCAGCAGCAGUGCGCCGUGGCACUACCAACGAGCGCGCAGACGCUACGCAAGACGGAGGUGAUCAGCUCUUCUGCGGUGCUGGCGCGCAUUCUCUCCAACAAGCGCCAGCUUGCCUAGCCGAAGGGGAGCGCUGGGAGAGGGGUACCGGCUCACCUCUCUGAGAUGCAGUUCUACAAACACGCGUUGUCUAAUGCACCUGGCAGCUGCAUUUAGCCGCGGACAAGUGCUUCUUGGGGACUUGGGCGGCGGUGUGCGCUUUCUCUGAGGCACGCCACCUCCCACCUCUUCAACUACACUCAGUAAGCCACGUUCCCUCCCCCUCGCUGUCUCUCUCUCUUUCGCUUCCAUGUGCUCAUAAUUGCACGACUCUAUCGAGCAACGACAAAUGCCGAUCACGCGUACAUACUAAAGAAAACAAGCAUAUAGGGCUUGGCAUGUGCUGCAUGCUGACACUCGCUUGCACACAUGUGCACGGACUCCUCCCUUUCGCACUGCCCGUAUGCGGCGUCUCUUGUGGAGUCUUUCCCCUCUUUCUGCUCACUCAAGCUAUGUGGCCUGCACAGCACGAGGCAAAGCGGUGCGGGGAGGUAGGUGGGCAGGAAGGCUAGGGCUACGGAGAUCUUCGAACGCCGCCUUGUGAAUGUCUGUGUGCGCAUGCGCAUGUCGGUCCGCUUUCCUCCCUCCCCCGCCCAGGCCAUGCGAUUUCCUUUCCCACUGUCGCGUCCCUCUUCUCUCCACUUCUUCAACGCACCGCACCCUGCCCUUUCGUCCUCUCUUUCUCUAUCCGCGAGCUCUACACUGUCGUGCGCUGCGUACGAUGUGCCUGCGGGUGGCUGGUGUACUAG
rnacentral:misc_RNA from 1 species